CAAUAGCGUAUAUUAAAGUUGUUGCAGUUAAAAAGCUCGUAGUUGGAUUUCUGGUGGGAGCGAUCGGUCUGGCGCUUAGCGCGAGUACUUGCAUCGUCUCCGGCCAUCAUUGGGGAGAGUCUGUCUGGCAUUAGGUUGUCGGGCAGAGGAUCCUCAUCGUUUACUGUGAAAAAAUUAGAGUGUUCAAAGCAGGCUUAUGCCGUUGAAUAUAUUAGCAUGGAAUAAUAAGAUAGGACUUUGGUACUAUUUUGUUGGUUUGCGCACCAAAGUAAUGAUUAAUAGGGACAGUUGGGGGUAUUCGUAUUCCGUUGUCAGAGGUGAAAUUCUUGGAUUUACGGAAGACGAACUACUGCGAAAGCAUUUACCAAGGAUGUUUUCAUUAA
rnacentral:rRNA from 1 species